rnacentral:rRNA from 1 species
CACGUAGGUCGCGAGCGUUGUCCGGAAUUAUUGGUCGGAAAGAGCUCGUAGGCGGCCUGUUGCGUCCGCUGUGAAAGCCCGGGGCUUAACCCCGGGUCGGCAGUGGAUACGGGCAGGCUAGAGGUAGGUAGGGGAGAAUGGAAUUCCCGGUGUAGCGGUGAAAUGCGCAGAUAUCGGGAGGAACACCGGUGGCGAAGGCGGUUCUCUGGGCCUUACCUGACGCUGAGGAGCGACAGCGUGGGGAGCAAACAGG